GACGAACGCUGGCGGCGUGCUUAACACAUGCAAGUCGAACGGAAAGGCCCUGCUUUUGUGGGGUGCUCGAGUGGCGAACGGGUGAGUAACACGUGAGUAACCUGCCCUUGACUUUGGGAUAACUUCAGGAAACUGGGGCUAAUACCGGAUAGGAGCUCCUGCUGCAUGGUGGGGGUUGGAAAGUUUCGGCUGUUGGGGAUGGACUCGCGGCUUAUCAGCUUGUUGGUGGGGUAGUUGCUUACCAAGGCUUUGACGGGUAGCCGGCCUGAGAGGGUGACCGGCCACAUUGGGACUGAGAUACGGCCCAGACUCCUACGGGAGGCAGCAGUGGGGAAUAUUGCACAAUGGGCGGAAGCCUGAUGAAGAGACGCCGCGUGCGGGAUGACGGCCUUCGGGUUGUAAAACGCUUUCGCCUGUGACGAAGCGUGAGUGACGGUAAUGGGUAAAGAAGCACCGGCUAACUACGUG
rnacentral:rRNA from 1 species